rnacentral:rRNA from 1 species
GAGGAAUAUUGGUCAAUGGGCGAGAGCCUGAACCAGCCAAGUCGCGUGAAGGAAGACUGCCUUAUGGGUUGUAAACUUCUUUUAUACAGGAAUAAAAAGGCUUACGUGUAGGCCAUUGCAAGUACUGUAUGAAUAAGCAUCGGCUAACUCCGUGCCAGCAGCCGCGGUAAUACGGAGGAUGCGAGCGUUAUCCGGAUUUAUUGGGUUUAAAGGGAGCGUAGGCGGACUAUUAAGUCAGCUGUGAAAGUUUACGGCUCAACCGUGAAAGUGCCUUCGAAACUGGUUCCCUUGAGUGCGGAUGGGGUAGGCGGAAUUUGUGGUGUAGCGGUGAAAUGCAUAGAUAUCACGAGGAACUCCGAUUGCGCAGGCAGCUUACCAAGCCGUAACUGACGCUCAAGCACGAAGGCGUGGGGAUCAAACA